rnacentral:rRNA from 1 species
UGAGGAAUAUUGGUCAAUGGGCGAGAGCCUGAACCAGCCAAGUCGCGUGAAGGAAGACAGUCCUAAGGAUUGUAAACUUCUUUUAUACGGGAAUAACGGGCGAUACGAGUAUUGCAUUGAAUGUACCGUAAGAAUAAGCAUCGGCUAACUCCGUGCCAGCAGCCGCGGUAAUACGGAGGAUGCGAGCGUUAUCCGGAUUUAUUGGGUUUAAAGGGUGCGUAGGUUGUUCGGUAAGUCAGCGGUGAAACCUGAGCGCUCAACGUUCAGCCUGCCGUUGAAACUGCCGGGCUUGGGUUCAGUGGCGGCAGGCGGAAUUCGGGGUGUAGAGGUGAAAUGCAUAGAUAUCACGAGGAACUCCGAUUGCGAAGGCAGCUUGCCAUACUGCGACUGACACUGAAGCACGAAGGCGUGGGUAUCAAACAGG